GACGAACGCUGGCGGCGUGCUUAACACAUGCAAGUCGAACGGAAAGGCCCUGCUUUUGUGGGGUGCUCGAGUGGCGAACGGGUGAGUAACACGUGAGUAACCUGCCCUUGACUUUGGGAUAACUACAGGAAACUGGGGCUAAUACCGGAUAGGAGCUCCUGCUGCAUGGUGGGGGUUGGAAAGUUUCGGCGGUUGGGGAUGGACUCGCGGCUUAUCAGCUUGUUGGUGGGGUAGUGGCUUACCAAGGCUUUGACGGGUAGGCGGCCUGAGAGGGUGACCGGCCACAUUGGGAAUGAGAUACGGGCCAGACUCCUACGGGAGGCAGCAGUGGGGAAUAUUGCACAAUGGGCGGAAGCCUGAUGCAGCAACGCCGCGUGCGGGAUGACGGCCUUCGGGUUGUAAACCGCUUUCGCCUGUGACGAAGCGUGAGUGACGGUAAUGGGUAAAGAAGCACCGGCUAACUACGUGCCAGCCGCCGCCGUAA
rnacentral:rRNA from 1 species